rnacentral:rRNA from 1 species
CCUACGGGAGGCAGCAGUGGGGAAUUUUCCGCAAUGGGCGAAAGCCUGACGGAGCAGUACCGCGUGAGGGAGGAAGGCUUUUGGGUCGUAAACCUCUUUUGUCAGGGAAGAACACAAUGACGGUACCUGACGAAUCAGCAUCGGCUAACUCCGUGCCAGCAGCCGCGGUAAUACGGAGGAUGCAAGCGUUAUCCGGAUUUAUUGGGCGUAAAGCGUCCGCAGGUGGUUGAGCAAGUCUGCUGUCAAAGCGCGGAGCUUAACUCCGUAAAGGCAGUGGAAACUGUUUAACUUGAGUACGGUAGGGGUAGCGGGAAUUCCCAGUGUAGCGGUGAAAUGCGUAGAUAUUGGGAAGAACACCAGCGGCGAAAGCGCGCUACUGGGCCUGAACUGACACUCAUGGACGAAAGCUAGGGGAGCGAAAGGGAUUAGAUACCCGGGUAGUC